UUGACCUUUUCUUGGUAUACAGUGUGAGAUGUUGGUCUUUGCCUAGUUUCUGCCAAAAUGCUCUCCAUUUCCCAGCAAUUUUGGUCAAAUGCAUGGAAGAACUGUCAGAUCUUGGGCUCCUCUGCCACAGCCUUUGAGAUGGCAGGCUCACUUUGUUUCAUGGGAAAGCUUCGUGGAUGUAGCAGAGAAAGGAAAAAUGGCCCUUAAGAAAGCAAUGAUGGGAAAAAAGAGCCGGACCAGACUGAGAAUAUCCAAAGGAAGCCUAGUGUCAUUACCCCAAAUGAAGGCAGGCUGGACAACUGAGUGACACACAAGUAAUCUACCCCUUUCUAUAUGUCACUUUCGUCAACUUCUAUGCCAAG